CCAACUGUUAGACUUGUAGGUAGAAACCUCUCCAGGGUCUCAAAGCUGAAUCAAGAAAGCAGCAAAGUUGCGCUGAUGCUAGCAGUUCCAGACAUGACAAAACUUUAUGACAUCAAAGUAUCAGCAGUCCCACCUGCAGUGUUUAUUUAUUAUUUCUAUGUUUUAGGUUUUUGACCAAAACUGCUCCCAAAGAUGACAGGAACCCACAGCUGCAAUUGCAGAGAAAGUCCUUGAGCAUGCGCGAAGCAACUGGAAUAUUCUGGAAAUGCAACUGGGAAAAUUCAGGAGUUCACAGCUGAGCAUGUGCAAAGCACAGCAAGUCAAAGAUGCUGUCUGCUCAGGUCUGCAGCAGUUUCUGGUUACCCUUGGUUUUGCACCCACCAACUUGAGCUGCUAUUCACCAUCAGCUUCCAGAGAUGGUCACUUCCGCAAUAUCCUGUGGGCCAAAAACCUCAGCAGGGGCAGCAUGUUUUCCUGGCAAAUCAUAUCCUCCCCCUUCAGGUGAUGAACCUGAAGGUCUCACAGUAAGUCAGCUUUUGCCAGGCUUUAUGUUUGUAGCAAUUAAAUUUUUCUUUA